UCCCUAGUGACUCAGACAGUAAAGAAUCUGCCUGCAAUGCAGAAGACCCUGGUUUGAUCCCUGGGUUGGGAA
rnacentral:tRNA from 1 species